UGUUGUCAGUGUUGGACAGAGCCAGGCUAGCUCUUUUCCCUCUUUAAGUUUUCAGUCUUGACGCUAACUAAGCUAGGCUGCAGCUUAUCCUAAAUAUAUUUAAUGGAAGAACAUGGGAGUGGUAGGCUAUCAGACUUCUCAUCUCUCAGCAGGGAAGCAUUAGUGUAUUUUCCAAAAUGCGGAACUAUUUAUUAAACCUCAGCCCACUGACUUACACUGAUCCAACACAGAUGAAAAGUUGUGCCGGUAUUUUAUUCAAGCCAAGAGGUGAAUCGACACAACUGCCAUCCGGUAUGAAGAAGCAACCACAGGAACCAGCCCAAAAUCAGCAGGUGCAGUCUGAGCUCCUGGCCCUCAGCUGAGAUCUGAACCACUGCCUCUGACGGAUGCUACAAGGACAAAAAUAAGAUCGGGUAAAUGAAAGCUGACAUAUUUUAUCAUAUUCUUUAAAUCAUUUUGACUC